rnacentral:rRNA from 1 species
AGAGUUUGAUCCUGGCUCAGGAUGAACGCUGGCGGUCUGCUUAACACAUGCAAGUCGAACGGACGUUUUCGGACGUUAGUGGCGGACGGGUGAGUAACGCGUGAGAAUCUGCCUUCAGGUUGGGGACAACAGUUGGAAACGACUGCUAAUACCCAAUGUGCCGAGAGGUGAAAGCUUUAGUGCCUGAGGAUGAGCUCGCGUCUGAUUAGCUAGUUGGAGUGGUAAUGGCACACCAAGGCGACGAUCAGUAGCUGGUCUGAGAGGAUGAUCAGCCACACUGGGACUGAGACACGGCCCAGACUCCUACGGGAGGCAGCAGUGGGGAAUUUUCCGCAAUGGGCGCAAGCCUGACGGAGCAAGACCGCGUGAGGGAGGAAGGCUCUUGGGUUGUAAACCUCUUUUAUCAGGGAAGAAGAUCUGACGGUACCUGAUGAAUCAGCAUCGGCUAACUCCGUGCCAGCAGCCGCGGUAAUACGGAGGAUGCAAGCGUUAUCCGGAUUUAUUGGGCGUAAAGCGUCCGCAGGUGGUUUUUCAAGUCUGCUGUUAAAGCGCGAGGCUUAACCUCGUAACGGCGGUGGAAACUGAGAGACUAGAGUAUGGUAGGGGUAGCGGGAAUUCCCAGUGUAGCGGUGAAAUGCGUAGAUAUUGGGAAGAACACCAGCGGCGAAAGCGCGCUACUGGGCCAUAACUGACACUCAUGGACGAAAGCUAGGGGAGCGAAAGGGAUUAGAUACCCCUGUAGUCCUAGCUGUAAACGAUGGAUACUAGGUGUUGCCCGUAUCGACCCGGGCAGUGCCGUAGCUAACGCGUUAAGU